GUGGGGAAUUUUGGACAAUGGGCGCAAGCCUGAUCCAGCAAUGCCGCGUGCAGGAAGAAGGCCUUCGGGUUGUAAACUGCUUUUGUACGGAACGAAACGGUCCUGGCUAAUAUCCGGGGCUAAUGACGGUACCGUAAGAAUAAGCACCGGCUAACUACGUGCCAGCAGCCGCGGUAAUACGUAGGGUGCGCGCGUUAAUCGGAAUUACUGGGCGUAAAGCGUGCGCAGGCGGUGCUGUAAGACAGGCGUGAAAUCCCCGGGCUCAACCUGGGAAUUGCGCUUGUGACUGCAGUGCUGGAGUGCGGCAGAGGGGGAUGGAAUUCCGCGUGUAGCAGUGAAAUGCGUAGAUAUGCGGAGGAACACCGAUGGCGAAGGCAAUCCCCUGGGCCUGCACUGACGCUCAUGCACGAAAGCGUGGGGAGCAAACAGGAUUAGAAACCCCGGUAGUCC
rnacentral:rRNA from 1 species